rnacentral:ncRNA from 1 species
AAGUAAGGACGACCUUACUCAUUUGAUUGAUUUCGGGACGACCCAA